CCGCCUGCCCCUUAAAUACUUUCCGCAUAGCUCUGCAACCAAGUAUUACGUGAUGAGUCAAAGAGAUAAGGACACCUCGGUGACAAUGAGCCGGCUGUGCUUUUGUUUUGGCUGGUACUUUUAUGACAGCAGCUAUGGAAACUUAUAUUAUCAACAUUAUAUUAUCGGCGGUCUAAGCAAUACUCGCUGAAAUUCUGCACCUCCCAAAGCUGGUAUUUUGCAAGACAAGUUGUUAACUGGACAGGAACAGAAGGACCAAGUUACUCAUCAUUUUCAGCCCUUACCAGUUACUAGAGCAUGUGGGAUAUCUGUGGAUGAUGGCAAGAGAGCAGUUGCUCUUAACUGUGCAGAAGAUCCACUUUUCUAGCAGGGAUCCACCCUUGGACCUGGGAUUUCAGUAGACCUACAUCAAGGGCUGCAGGGAGCCUGAACCCUUUCCCAGGAAGCAUAAGGGAUCGUGCAGGAGAACAUCCUCACAAACAGUAGAGAUGCCAGUUUGCCUAACUGCAAGUCCCUUUGAAUACAGGAGAACCUGGAGGAAACCCACAUAAUGGCAAGGAUUCGACUGCUUUUGCAUCAUAUGAAAUCUUUAGGGUCUAACCAUUACACAGUCAGGGCAACUGCCAUGGGGCAAGCAAGACCAGCUCCAGCAGCUUACCGCUAUAGUGCCACAAUUAGCCUAGGUGGACCUGGAAAUAGAAAGUUGGGCAUCUCCAUUACCCUCAUGAGACUGUGUUCUACCUUUGCAUGUACAUAAUUCACUUCAUCUAAAAAAAAAAACCCAAAAAGGCUCCGGUCAGCUUCCUCCAUCCUCAACACUUCCCAGUCGCCGAUGGUUCUAUCCCAUCAUGCAUUUCAAGCAGGGAAACAAACGUCACCGUCCCCUCUGCAGAUGAUGUAGUGACCAGAUGCGAAAAAGCAUGGAGAAUGACCUCAUCUCUCAGCAUUUGGAAUACCAGCAGCAGCAAUUAAACCACAAAAUAAGGCCUAUACCUUCAGCAUGACUGGGUCAAGGGGUAUGGCUGUCUGUUCCUGUGCUUGAGUCUCUCAAUGUCACUCUGCGCUACAUCGGUUCCUGUGCUGUAGAAGAUCCAGUUCCCUAGCAGGGGUCAACCCUUGUACAUGGGACCUCAGUAGACCAAUAUGAAUGGGGCAACUCAAUGGCUUAUCCACACAUUGUACUGUAACCAGAUUUCUCCUCUUUUCCUGAUUCUCUGGAAUGGCAAGAUUCCGUAGUAUCCUGUGAAUUGGGAAGGCUGCAUUCCAGAGGAACAUUUGUGGCUGCUGUCAAAUCCUGGAAGUGGCCCUAAUUCGGGAUUUCCAUGAGCAGCAAGUGGCGCUAAUGAGAUCAGUCCAACGACACAUCACUGUGUUCUGUGCAAGGAUCAUUACAUGAGUAAAAUCACACAGAUGUAUCUGUUUAAGGUAACAUGUCAUUUGUCUUUGCAUCUUGAGACUGUUUUUUGUGGGUGCAGAUAUUGCCUGAGUAUUCCAGCCUACUUUCUUCCCAUGUAGGAUAUCUUAUAUUAUGAAUAGUUUAUUUUUUGACUCUCUGAGCUUCCUUCCGUUUUUGUCUGCCCUCUUGGAGUUUAUUUUUUUGUCAGUAAAGACUAUUGCAUUGUCUCGCUCGCGGCCCGUUCUUUCCUCUGAAAUUGUGCUCACCUUAUUGCGGAUACCUGACAGCUAGGCUCACUUAGAUGCUUGUUAGUGUGAGUAGCUGAAUUCCUUCUACAUUGUACAUUUUUAGCACAUUCACCUAUAUUGAUACUGAUGUUUAUCUUAUAUUAUGCUCCUGUCUCAGUAUUGUACUCUUUUUAUGUGGAACAUUUAAUGUUGACUAUUUCAAUUUAGCUGUAAAUUAAGUGAUGGCUACUUUGUUAUUACAUUCUUCAUCUUCCCCUUGUCUUGCUAACUUCAUAUUUCCGUUGUACUUCUUUAAGAUGUAGUAAUGACGGUGAACAUUUUUUUUUUGCAUAGGGCAUUACGGUAACCCUCGAACCCUAACACAAGCUUGAACUUUUGCCCUAGCCCUAACCCUAAUAGCAACCUUACAUUUCAAAUAUCUAUAAUUGUCAAUAGUAUCAUUAUAAAAUGCUACAUAGAACAUAUAGGGUAUUAAAGGAACAUUCUUGUUUCCCUUCCUGUUUACCCUCUACACAUCACACAUAGUUCUUUCCACCUACAGAAAUCCUCUGACGACAACUCCUUUGUAGGAUACAUCAACGACGGAGAUGAGUCAGCGUACAGAGGACUAGCAAACGACUUUGUCUUACAGUGCAAGGAGUACAACCUGCAGCUCAACAUCAGGAAGGCAAAGAGGCUGGUGGUGGACUUCCGGAGUAACAUGGAGCCCCCAAGAUCAGUCAUUAUAUGGAGGAAGGAACUGCAGGUGCUGCGGGGCUACAUGAAUCUGGGGGUUCAUCUGAACAACAGACUGGCCUGGGUGGACAACACAGUGGCGUUAUACAAGAAAGGCCAGAGCAGACCCUACUUUCUGAGUAGGCUAAGGUCCUUUAACAUGUGCAGCAAACUGUUGUGUAUAUUUCAUCAGCCUGUAAUGGCGAACAUGUUUUUCUAUGUUGUGGUCCUGCUGGGGAACUGGAAGAAGUUCAGCUGAUGCCAAAUGCCUGAACAAAAUUCAUCAGCAGCUAUGACCUGAUUUCAAAUGGGAUUUUCCUAGCUUCAUGAGGACUGCUUGGUCUAUAUUAAAAAAUAAAAGACUCCAGGAGACACUGAUCUAGGGGACUAUCACAUUUUCAAUCCAUUUAAAGAGACUCUGCUUGGUUAGAAGUUUUACCUCUGAUGAUGAGGUUGAGGAAGCAGUGCAGACCUGGUUUCGGGAGAAGCUGAAAAGCUUGUUCUCUCAAGGAAUGAAGAAGUUAGUGGAAUGAUACAAGAAGUGCAUCGACCUUCAGGGAGACUAUGUGAUGAAAUGAUGAGCCUCCAAGGCUACUCUUUCAUUGUUGCGUCAUCAAAUUGCAUUAAUUGAGGCAAAAAAAUUUAAGUCCACUUUCUUGGCUUUCUAUCUGAAUCAGAUGUUGACAGAUGGAAGCCAGGGACAGAAAGUUGGAGAAGUUUAGUGUGUUGCCAUUCUGGAAUGAUGGUAUUAAAUGCUGAGUUACAGUCUGUUAAUCUUCCGCUUGUGGCCUCAGACCAGCCUCAUGUGUUACUUUGUAUUUAUUGAUUUUCUGUUAUUUCCUAGCGUUUGUUAGUUAUUUUUGCUUUCCUGUUUUCAGUUUGCCCUGCUUGUGUCCUGUUGGUUUUGAUUUUGCUUGUACAGUAUGUGUUCCUUUUACUGUUAUCCCUCAGUGCUUUGCUAACGUUCCGUAGUUCUAUGUUUAUUAUUAGUUACUCUACCUGUUGCCUGUUUCACUGUUCUAGUUAUUUCAUUGUUCCAUCUGUUGCUCAUUAUCCUACACCCUCCACAAUUAGUUGAUUGUUUUGAUGAUUCACACCGUGUCUCGUAAGUCCUCGUUAUCUGUGUCAGUCAUCAUAUUAGGUGCCUAUACUGUAAGAUGUUACUCUGUGUGCUAAUGGUGCUGCGUGUUGUUACUUAGCCUGUUUCUGAAGUUCCUUGAGUUCCUUGAGGUGCCUGGUUCUCUGUGUAGGUUUAUCUAUGGGUCUGUUUGUAAUGUUUACCCCUGUUUAGUUCAGACCGCUUGUGGUCCUGUUAUUGUCUCAGAGCCUCAAGUGGAUCAUCAUCUUCUUUCGCACCUGUGCCAUACUGCACUGCAACAGUACCUUGCAUAUCUCCAGUGACCUGCUGAAGGUUUGAGUGAAGUUGCAAGCCAGUUGGUCAGCACAGACUUUCAGGAGUCUGGAUUGACACAUGCCAACUGGCCAAGCAAUCCAGGCCAUGUGGGAAGUUGACUCAUUGGAGGAUUACGGCCAUUUCCCUGCUCUGGUUGGAAAGGAGGAAAUACUCCAAGGACUUCAUCUUCAGAAGAUCAUGUCCUUCACCCUGUAUCUGGUGCCAUCUGCCGCAACUGUAAAAGCGGGAGUACCUGAAGAUUGAAAGCAGAAUCAGUGGUUCAGUCGAAGAAUAAGGCAUGAAAGGCAAGCAGAUAUUACUGUUUUUCAACUUAUGAGAACGCUCUGAAAUGAAUCCCUUUUGAUGACAUACAUUUUUUUUAUGGUGCAGUGUAGCAUUAUGGAAAUUGAUCAAACUCACUUCAUGUGACACCACAUCACUGAAACAUUAGAAAACAACUGGCACGUAAGAUAUUUUGCCUUGGUGAGGGAUUACCUAUAUUGGUAGCCAAUGGGCCAUUUUUUCUGUGCAAUUUUCCUAUAGCCAGCCACACAAGAGGCUUGCUGUUAUGCAGUAAUUGAUUGUUUUGCCAAUACUGCCGUCGUCUGGUUUCUGGAUUGCGCCGAUGCCCGCUCCUUCUUGCUGGAACGCAGGGGCAUGUGUCGGGCAGAUGGCACGCCGGUUAUGCCAGGAGAGAUUACUACGGUGCCAAGCACAAUGAAAUGUACAUGCUGACAGCAGAAGCCAAACCAGUUCCCAUAUCAUGGGACGGGUUCUGGCUUCCCAUUUCCCCAAGGCUGGAACUAGAACUCAUGAUAUGCAGCAUAUAUCUUACGACACUAUGCUACAGGAUGAUGGUAACAGGUCAGAGAGUGUCAGCAUAAUGAUGAACCAGUAACUGGUUAUUAAUGAAGCAAUAAGCUCUCACUCUAAAUGUCCAUAAAAAGAGGCAAAUGAGAAUUACACCGCGAAUCAAAAUUAUUGCAUAUAUAACACUUAUCUUGCGAACGGAUGAGACAGUACCUGAUGAAAUGCCCCUUGUUUGGUCAUUUAUAUUUCCCAUUUGCCUUUUAAAAUAGUAAAUUGGACCUACAGUAAAUUGUACCAUUAUUGCCCUCUGAAUAUCAAUUCUAUUUCCUUGCAAUCAAAUGUCUGGUUGGAAUUAUGGAGAAUAGUACAGUACUGCUUAAAAAAGAAAUGAAUCCAUAUAGUAAUGUAUUAUAAAUGCAGGUUCUGAUAAAUCAAUAGUAAAUCACACUUUAAAAAAUGCAUAGUUGCCACUCCGUAUUAAUAUCCACAGAGAAUACCUGUAUUAACAUCACUUAGAGGUUCCUUGGUUAAGCAGCUGUAAAUGUUGCAUUAAAGACUUUAAUAAUGCUCAAUAUAAGAACUUUGAUUAAAGACUCCAGAUUCCCUUCUUUUACUCAUGUCACCUCCGACUUAAUCAAUACUAGAAGUCACACACUCAAUAUAUACUGAGCAGCAAAUAUUGCUCUGGGGUCAGUCUUGUUGCUCCCACAGUACAGAGUUGCUCCUCGUCUUCUGUAUUUAGUAAGUACUGUAGUAUGUCUGUGUCCAUAUGGAUGAUCAUACUGGUGUUUUUUGUAUUCUGUGCACUGGAUUUGAUUACCUCCCUUCUCCAGCAACCAUCCACACUUGAGUCUUUUUCCUAUGCACCUCUUGUCUAGUCAGGAGCUGUGAGGUUUCAUGGUUCCCUGCUUCCUGCUUUGUUCGUCAGCCAGGAGACUUGGCAUUCUCAGGGCCAUGGUUUAAUCCACGCUGUUUUGCACCUGUACUUCAUCUGAUCUUACAACAAAAUAACUUGUUUUACCAAACCUUGAGUCCUGCCAUGACAUUUCAGUCUAGAGGUUCUUUGUGUGUUCGUUAAAUGGUUUUCUAAAACCUCAUCCCACCAUCAGAACCAGAUAAGACAAGUUUAUUUUUUCAAAACACCAUUCAAGCAUAAACAUCAUCCAGGGAAUUUCAACAGGGACCCGUUUACAAGUCAAUGAUUGCAGUACAAACAAAGAACUUCUUUAUGGUGGUCAGGGCUCAGGUGUUCUGUAGUAUCAUCUCCCAAAAGAGCUCACACACCUGCAUCGUUCCCAACCGGCCGUCUCCUGUCUCACCCUGAAAACUCUGGCACACUUCCUAGCGAACAGCUUCUGACAUCUCACUAUUAUGGAAAAUAACAAGCAAACUUUCCCCCAUAGCCUCACUAAGGCAGUCGGUAGUUCCUUUCACUUUCUACAGACCCAAGAGCCACAAUUCUACUCACUUAUCAGAGAAGCCCCACACAUCUUUGCUCCAGAAAAAGCAUAUUGCUCUCAGUAGUGUUUUAGUGCGUCAGGUUUCCUACCGUAAUUCAAUCACUUCUUGCCUCCAGCCUGGGGUGUUGGAGGGGCAUGGAUACCCUGAUCAAUUCGGGGGGGGGGGGAACAAAAUCUACCAAAGGGGA